CCCUCUCUGCCACGAAGGAUCAGGAAGUUUGUACUCUCUGCGUGGCUGAGAAGUUUUUCACCUACUAGAACCCGGCUAGGGUACGGGAAACAGGUGCCCUCCGAAACUAGAGCGCAAACUGCAGCCUACGUCCCACUGCAGCGCAGGAGCAACGUCAUGUGAAAAUGUCAACAUUAACUCACCGGACCAGUUGAACUGAAGUAAGUAAGAGCUCUGAAGAGAAAAUAGAAAGCGAGGAAGACACUAAUCAAGAAAAGAGUCCAGAUAAUGAAGACCCUGGAGACUCUACGGAUAUCUGCCUCACUCUUACGGAAGAAGUAUUGCUCCUGGGACUAAGAGAUAAAGAGGGCUACGCAUCUUUCUGGAAUGAGUGUUUAUCACCUGGGCUUCGAGGAGGCAUCCCGAUAGAGCUGGCCAUACUGGGUAGACUCUAUCUGGAUCCUCCCACCAUGCAUAAGAAGAGACUCCCAGACAGAAAGGUCCUGCUAAAG
rnacentral:lncRNA from 1 species